GAUAGAACCUACUUCUCAUAUAAGUAGGUGGAUGCGGCCUCGAUUAGCGGGGGAACCACAUGAAAAAAAGCGAGCUACUGGGUGUACCUCCUGGGUAGUUUGGAAAUCACCUAAGAUAUAUAUGUAUAUAUUUAUAAAUAAAAGUUAAUAUAUAUAAAUUAACAUUAAUUUUUUUUAACAGGAAAUGCACAAUGCUAAAAACUGCGUAGGAGAUUUUAAUACAAUAGUACUACCAAGCCUGAUGUUGGCCGCUAUUUCAAUGAAUGCAGCAGUGUCACAGCUAGCAAUCAAAAGUAACAAGAUAUUGAGGAAAUGCAGAUGGCAAUAAACUGUGUAGGAGUUCAUGAUUGCAAUAGAAUAAAAUCGACCAAGCCUGAAGUCAGCAGCCCCUUCAAUGAAUGCAGCAGUGUGACAGCCAGCAAUCAAAAGUUACAAGAUAUCGAGGAAAUGCAGAAGGCAAAAAACUGCGUAGGAGAUCAUUAAUACAAAAGUAUUAUAUAAACCAAACCUGAUGUUGCCAGCUCCUUCAAUGAAUGCAGCAGUGUGACAGCCAGCAAUCAAAAGUAACAAGAUAUCGAGGAAAUGCAGAAGGCAAAAAACUGCGCAGGAGAUUAUUAAUACAAUAGUAUUAUAUCAACCAAGCCUGAUGUCGGUAGCUUCUUCAAUGAAUGCAGCAGUGUGACAGCCAGCAAUCAAUAGUGAUAGUGACAAGAAUCUAGGAAAUACAGAAGGCAAAGAAGCAGAUGUCAUCAAAGAAGAUCUUUGUUCCUGCAAUGUUUCCGCAGACGAUACAUCCAACAGAGCGAAGUGGAAGGAAAAGACUCGGAAAAAAGACCCCACCACCAUAUGGGAACAAUGCAAGGGAGAGAGAGAGAAUAUAAUUUUAUAUUUUUAUUUUUUGAUAACAUAAAAUAAACCAACAAUAUCCUACACAUUUUUUUUAUUUCUUUUUGUGUCUGUCUUAAUAGUUAUUACAAAUCUGUGAUGCGAAACAAACUAUACGAAAACGUCAA